CAGCAGCCGCGGGAAUACGUAGGGGGCAAGCGUUGUCCGGAAUUAUUGGGCGUAAAGCGCGCGCAGGCGGUCAUGUAAGUCUGGUGUUUAAUCCCGGGGCUCAACCCCGGAUCGCACUGGAAACUGGGUGACUUGAGUGCAGAAGAGGAGAGUGGAAUUCCACGUGUAGCGGUGAAAUGCGUAGAGAUGUGGAGGAACACCAGUGGCGAAGGCGACUCUCUGGGCUGUAACUGACGCUGAGGCGCGAAAGCGUGGGGAGCAAACAGGAUUAGAUACCCCCGUAGUCCCUGUCUCUUAUACA
rnacentral:rRNA from 1 species